UCUGAAUAAGGUAGAGAAGCGCCGUUCUCACGUUCUAGGGCUUCACUGAAUUUUAACAGGUGGGUCGCCAAUACUUCUGCAAACAGGGAGUUUUGCACUCCCUAAGAAGUUUCUUAUAUUUUGAGGAUGGAAAAAAACCCCAAUGUUUAUCGAUCGCGUAUUUAACCAGUCGUUUAACAGUAACUUUGUUUAUAACUCCCCUUCCUUAAUAAGUAUUGGCACCCUUCAUUUAAAAUUGUCCGUAUCCAUAUGUGUGGAUGCUGUAUCUUUUUGUUUUAAAAUUUUUAACAUCAGAAUAAAGUUUUCUUCUUAGAGAGUCCAAUUUUUUCCCAAUAGAGUUUGCUGAGUGCAAAACUAUUGGCACUCCACCCAUUCAAGCGUUGGUGACCAUAGCUGUCGAGCAAGAUUGGAGAGGAUCUUGGAACGCUCUCCAGGCAUCCACUUUAAGUUUAGUUAUACUCUCAGGUUUGUUCUUGGUGACCGUCAUUUUUAAAUCCCGCCACAGGUUUUCCACAGGAUUUGAACCCGGAGACUGAGUUCGCACAAUUGUGUUCUACAACCUUUUCUGUUUUGAUUGAAGUGUUCCUUGGAUCAUCGACUUGUUGAAAGAACCAUCUAUGGUCAAGUCUUAACCUACUUGCAGAGGCAACCCUGUUUUGGGGUCUGGGACUUGACGGAUCAUAGACCCAAUCCGUGGCUAAUUUUAAACUGUUCUAUAUUUAUAACGUUUUCUUUUUAUUAUGUCUAUUACCGCGUUUAUUGUGCAGACCAAUAACUCUCUGUAAUUUAUAUUGAAACCUGUAGCUUUGUUUGUUUUUUUCUUCAUGCUGAUGGAUGACUGAGUUAAUUUUUGUUAUACUUCUCUAUUAGCAGGAAAUGAGUGAGUGUGGACUCAGACCAAUUUAAAUAUAACAACUACUAUGUGUUUUUUCAAAGACUGAUGAUUGCUGUACAUUUUUUGGUUGGGGUGCCAAUAAUUUUGCAACAAAUUUUUUUUUUUUCCAUAUAAAAAUC
ensembl:lncRNA